rnacentral:rRNA from 1 species
GACGAACGCUGGCGGCGUGCUUAACACAUGCAAGUCGAACGGGCCCGCCCCUGUUUUUGGGGGUGGGUUGAGUGGCGAACGGGUGAGUAUCACGUGAGUAACCUGCCCCCUGCUCCUGGAUAACUGCUUUAAAGGGCGGCUAAUACGGGGUGUGCUGGCUGGUCCGCAUGGGCCUGGUCGGGAUAGUUUUAUUUUCGGGGGUUUCGGUGGGGGUUGGGGUCGCGGCCUAUCCGCUUAGUGGUGGGGUGAUGGGCCACCACAGCGGUGUCUGGUAGCCGGCCUGAGAGGGUGGGCGGCCACACUGGGACUGAGACACGGCCCAGCCACCGGGGGGAGGCAGCAGUGUGGGGUAUUGCACAAUGGGCGGUAGCCUGAUGAAGCGACGUCGCGUGAGGGAUGUAGGCCUUCGGGUUGUGAUCCUCUUUCUCCGGUGGUGAAGGCCCUGUCCGUUGCGGCGGGGUUGACGGUAGCCGGGUAUGAAGCUCCGGCUAACUACGUG